UUACAGUACAUCGUCCAGAAAAAUGACACUCUUUGUUUUUAUUGUGCUCUCCUUUGCAAGUGAUAUUUUUGGGAAUGCCAUCAUGCCUGUUCAAACUAAAGUAUAUAGAACAGAAAAUGAAAUGAUAUCUCUGUCGUGCAACUACUCCUCUGCAGUGAGUCUAUAUUGGUAUCGCCAAUAUCCAAGAUCAGCUCCCGAAUUUCUUUUCGUCGUUCUACAUGCUACUGGGAAAGUUUUACAGAAGUCUGUUGAUCUGGAUACUCGAUUCUCUGGAAAACUGAAUGAGGAGAAAUCCCAUGUGUAUCUGGAGAUCUCCUCUGCUAAAGUGUCAGACUCUGCGAUGUACUACUGUGCCCUGGAGCCCACAGUGACAGGAAAACAAACUACACUGUACAAAAACCCUCCCUAUAGAGAGUAAACCACU